rnacentral:rRNA from 1 species
AGAGUUUGAUCCUGGCUCAGAUUGAACGCUGGCGGCAUGCCUUACACAUGCAAGUCGAACGGCAGCACGGGGGCAACCCUGGUGGCGAGUGGCGAACGGGUGAGUAAUACAUCGGAACGUGUCCUGGAGUGGGGGAUAGCCCGGCGAAAGCCGGAUUAAUACCGCAUACGCUCUGAGGAGGAAAGCGGGGGAUCUUAGGACCUCGCGCUCAAGGGGCGGCCGAUGGCGGAUUAGCUAGUUGGUAGGGUAAAGGCCUACCAAGGCGACGAUCCGUAGCUGGUCUGAGAGGACGACCAGCCACACUGGGACUGAGACACGGCCCAGACUCCUACGGGAGGCAGCAGUGGGGAAUUUUGGACAAUGGGGGCAACCCUGAUCCAGCAAUGCCGCGUGUGUGAAGAAGGCCCUCGGGUUGUAAAGCACUUUUGUCCGGAAAGAAAACCUAGGUCCUAAUAUGGCUUGGGGAUGACGGUACCGGAAGAAUAAGCACCGGCUAACUACGUGCCAGCAGCCGCGGUAAUACGUAGGGUGCGAGCGUUAAUCGGAAUUACUGGGCGUAAAGCGUGCGCAGGCGGUUCGCUAAGACCGAUGUGAAAUCCCCGGGCUUAACCUGGGAACUGCAUUGGUGACUGGCGAGCUAGAGUGUGGCAGAGGGGGGUAGAAUUCCACGUAGCAGUGAAAUGCGUAGAGAUGUGGAGGAAUACCGAUGGCGAAGGCAGCCCCCUGGGCUAACACUGACGCUCAUGCACGAAAGCGUGGGGAGCAAACAGGAUUAGAUACCCCCGUAGUCC